AAGUCGUAACAAGGUUUCCGUAGGUGAACCUGCGGAAGGAUCAUUAUUGAAUUUUGAAGGGGUUGUAGCUGAUCUUUUCAAGAUAUGUGCACACCUCUAUCUAUACACCCAUGUGCACCUUUUGUAGGCUUUUUUGCCUAUGUUUAUACACACACACCAUUUUGUACAAGAAUGUUAUUAAUGAAAAUUUAAUACAACUUUCAACAACGGAUCUCUUGGCUCUCGCAUCGAUGAAGAACGCAGCGAAAUGCGAUAAGUAAUGUGAAUUGCAGAAUUCAGUGAAUCAUCGAAUCUUUGAACGCACCUUGCGCUCCUUGGUAUUCCGAGGAGCAUGCCUGUUUGAGUGUCAUUAAAUUAUCAACCUCUUCAAGAGGCUUGGAUUUGGAGUGUUGCUGGCUUGUUGUUGGCUCCUCUUAAAUGAAUUAAGCUUGUGUGUAGGCUUUGGUUUGAUAAUAUCUAUGCCAUCGCUGUAAUGCAAAACAACCUUGAAAUUUGACCUCAAAUCAGGUAGGACUACCCGCUGAACUUAAGCAUAUCAAUAAGCGGAGGAAAAGAAACUAACAAGGAUUCCCCUAGUAACUGCGAGUGAAGCGGGAAAAGCUCAAAUUUAAAAUCUGAUAGUCUUUAUGGCUGUCCGAGUUGUAAUCUAGAGAAGUGCUUUCCGCGUUGGACCGUGUACAAGUCUCUUGGAACAGAGCGUCAUAGAGGGUGAGAAUCCCGUCUUUGACACGGACUACCAGUGCUUAUGUGAUGCGCUCUCAAAGAGUCGAGUUGUUUGGGAAUGCAGCUCAAAAUGGGUGGUAAAUUCCAUCUAAAGCUAAAUAUUGGCGAGAGACCGAUAGCGAACAAGUACCGUGAGGGAAAGAUGAAAAGAACUUUGGAAAGAGAGUUAAACAGUACGUGAAAUUGUUGAAAGGGAAACGCUUGAAGUCAGUCACGUUGGCCAGAAAUCAACCCUCAUGGGUGUACUUUCUGGUUUUACGGGUCAGCAUCAAUUUUGAUUGUUGGAUAAAAGUCAAUAUUUAUGCAUUUUCGGAUGUAUAGCCUUUGGUUGCAUACAACAGUUGGGAUUGAGGAACUCAGCAUGCCGCAAGGCCGGGUCACUUGUGAUCACGUACAUGCUUAGGAUGCUGGCAUAAUGGCUUUAAUCGACC
rnacentral:rRNA from 1 species